rnacentral:rRNA from 1 species
GACGAACGCUGGCGGCGUGCUUAACACAUGCAAGUCGAACGAAGUGGCGAACGGGUGAGUAACGCGUAAUCAACCUGCCCUUCAGAGGGGUACAACAGUUGGCAACGACUGCUCAUACCGCAUACUGAAGGAGGGGAUUGCGUCUGAUUAGCUAGUUGGAGGGGUCACGGCCCACCAAGGCGAUGACCAGUAGCCGGUCUGAGAGGAUGAACGGCCACAUUGGGACUGGGACACGGCCCAGACUCCUACGGGAGGCAGCAGUGGGGAAUCUUCCGCAAUGGACGAAAGUCUGACGGAGCAACGCCGCGGGAGGUAUGACGGCCUUCGGGUUGUAAAGCUCUGUUAAUCGGGACGCGGUACCGGAAUAGAAAGCCACGGCUAACUACGUGCCAGCAGCCGCGGUAAUAC